rnacentral:misc_RNA from 1 species
UCCGAGUUGACCCCGGCAGUCUCCUACGAGUCCCCGCCAUUACGCGCUGGCAACAUAGGACAAGGGUUGCGCUCGUUGCGGGACUUAACCCAACAUCUCGCGACACGAGCUGACGACAGCCAUGCACCACCUAUCGCCGACCCCGAAGGACACCACAUCUCUGUGGCUUUUCCGGCGUAGUUCAGCCCAGGUAAGGUUCUUCGCGUUGCCUCGAAUUAAGGCACAUAAUCCACCGCUUGUGCGGGUCCCCGUCAAUUCCUUUGAGUUUCAAUCUUGCGACCGUACUCCCCAGGUGGAAUACUUAACGCUUUCGCUUGGGCCCUAACAGUAUAUCGCUAGGACCGAGUAUUCAACGUUUAGGGCGUGGACUAC